UGAGUAACGCGUGAGGAACCUGCCUUUCGGAGGGGGACAACAGUUGGAAACGACUGCUAAUACCGCAUGAUACAUUUGAGCCGCAUGGUCUGAAUGUCAAAGAUUUAUCGCCGAAAGAUGGCCUCGCGUCUGAUUAGCUAGUUGGUGGGGUAACGGCCCACCAAGACGACGAUCAGUAGCCGGACUGAGAGGUUGGCCGGCCACAUUGGGACUGAGAUACGGCCCAGACUCCUACGGAAGGCAGCAG
rnacentral:rRNA from 1 species